AUUGAACGCUGGCGGCAGGCCUAACACAUGCAAGUCGAGCGAGCGGCGGACGGGUGAGUAAUGUAUGGGGACUGCCCGAUAGCGGGGGAUAACUACUGGAAACGGUGGCUACUACCGCAUACUAUCGGAUAACCCAUAUGGGAUUAGCUAGUAGGUGGGGUAAAGGGUCACAUAGGCGCAGAUCUCUAGCUGGUCUGAGAGGAUGAUCAGCCACACGGGGACUGAGAAACGGCCCAGACUCGUACGGAGGCAGCAGUGGGGAAUAUUGCACAAUGGGGGAAAGCCUGAUGCAGCCAUGCCGCGUGGAUGAAGAAGGCCUUAGGGUUGUAAGGUACUUUCAGCGGGGAGGCGUUACCCACAGAAGAAGCACCGGCUAACUCCGUGCCAGCCGCCGCGGUAAUUC
rnacentral:rRNA from 1 species